AGGCCACUGCUAUCGGAGUUCGAUUAAGCCAUGCGAGUCGAGAGGUGCAAGACCUCGGCAUACUGCUCAGUAACACGUGGACAACCUACCCUAUGGAGGGGGAUAACCCCGGGAAACUGGGGAUAAUACCCCAUAGACUAUAGAUGCUGGAAUGCUUUGUAGUUGAAAGGUCCGCCGCCAUAGGAUGGGUCUGCGGCCGAUUAGGUUGUUGUUGGGGUAACGGCCCAACAAGCCUGUAAUCGGUACGGGUUGUGGGAGCAAGAGCCCGGAGAUGGAUUCUGAGACACGAAUCCAGGCCCUACGGGGCGCAGCAGGCGCGAAAACUUUACAAUGCGGGAAACCGUGAUAAGGGAACUCCGAGUGCCCGUAAAAUCGGGCUGUCCAUCUGUUUAAAUAACAGGUGAAGAAAGGGCCGGGCAAGACCGGUGCCAGCCGCCGCGGUAAUACCGGCGGCUCGAGUGGUGGCCACUAUUACUGGGCUUAAAGCGUUCGUAGCUGGUCUGUUAAGUCUCUGGGGAAAUCUACUGGCUUAACCAAUAGGCGUCUCAGGGAUACUGGCAGACUAGGGACCGGGAGAGGUGAGAGGUACUCCAGGGGUAGGAGUGAAAUCCUGUAAUCCUUGGGGGACCACCUGUGGCGAAGGCGUCUCACCAGAACGGCUCCGACAGUGAGGGACGAAAGCUGGGGGAGCAAACCGGAUUAGAUACCCGGGUAGUCCCAGCCGUAAACGAUGCGCGUUAGGUGUAUCGGUGACCACGAGUCACCGAGGUGCCGAAGAGAAAUCGUGAAACGUGCCGCCUGGGAAGUACGGUCGCAAGGCUGAAACUUAAAGGAAU
rnacentral:rRNA from 1 species